AGCGAACGCUGGCGGCAGGCUUAACACAUGCCAGUCGAGCGGGCCCUUCGGGGUCAGCGGCGGACGGGUGAGUAACGCGUGGGAACGUGCCUUCUGGUCUGGAAUAACCCUGGGAAACUAGGGCUAAUACCGGAUACGCCCUUUUGGGGAAAGGUUUACUGCCGGAAGAUCGGCCCGCGUCUGAUUAGCUAGUUGGUGGGGUAACGGCCUACCAAGGCGACGAUCAGUAGCUGGUCUGAGAGGAUGAUCAGCCACACUGGGACUGAGACACGGCCCAGACUCCUACGGGAGGCAGCAGUGGGGAAUAUUGGACAAUGGGCGCAAGCCUGAUCCAGCCAUGCCGCGUGAGUGAUGAAGGCCUUAGGGUUGUAAAGCUCUUUUAUCCGGGACGAUAAUGACGGUACCGGAGGAAUAAGCCCCGGCUAACUUCGUG
rnacentral:rRNA from 1 species